GCUCUUCUAGAAGAAUGGUAUAUCUAUGAGCCUUGAAUCUCAGGGUUGUGGGUUCGAGCCCCGUGUUGGGCA